rnacentral:siRNA from 1 species
UAAUACGAUUAAACCGUCCACUCC